rnacentral:rRNA from 1 species
GACGAACGCUGGCGGCGUGCUUAACACAUGCAAGUCGAACGGAAAGGCCCUGCUUUUGUGGGGUGCUCGAGUGGCGAACGGGUGAGUAACACGUGAGUAACCUGCCCUUGACUUUGGGAUAACUUCAGGAAACUGGGGCUAAUACCGGAUAGGAGCUCCUGCUGCAUGGUGGGGGUUGGAAAGUUUCGGCGGUUGGGGAUGGACUCGCGGCUUAUCAGCUUGUUGGUGGGGUAGUGGCUUACCAAGGCUUUGACGGGUAGCCGGCCUGAGAGGGUGACCGGCCACAUUGGGACUGAGAUACGGCCCAGACUCCUACGGGAGGCAGCAGUGGGGAAUAUUGCACAAUGGGCGGAAGCCUGAUGCAGCAACGCCGCGUGCGGGAUGACGGCCUUCGGGUUGUAAACCGCUUUCGCCUGUGACGAAGCGUGAGUGACGGUAAUGGGUAAAGAAGCACCGGCUAACUACGUGCCAGCAGCCGCGGUGAUACGUAGGGUGCGAGCGUUGUCCGGAUUUAUUGGGCGUAAAGGGCUCGUAGGUGGUUGAUCGCGUCGGAAGUGUAAUCUUGGGGCUUAACCCUGAGCGUGCUUUCGAUACGGGUUGACUUGAGGAAGGUAGGGGAGAAUGGAAUUCCUGGUGGAGCGGUGGAAUGCGCAGAUAUCAGGAGGAACACCAGUGGCGAAGGCGGUUCUCUGGGCCUUUCCUGACGCUGAGGAGCGAAAGCGUGGGGAGCGAACAGGCUUAGAUACCCUGGUAGUCCACGCUGUAAACGGUGGGUACUAGGUGUGGGGUCCAUUCCACGGGUUCCGUGCCGUAGCUAACGCUUUAAGUACCCCGCCUGGGGAGUACGGCCGCAAGGCUAAAACUCAAAGGAAUUGACGGGGCCCCGCACAAGCGGCGGAGCAUGCGGAUUAAUUCGAUGCAACGCGUAGAACCUUACCUGGGUUUGACGUGGAUCGGGAGCGCUCAGAGAUGGGUGUGCCUCUUUUGGGGUCGGUUCACAGGUGGUGCAUGGCUGUCGUCAGCUCGUGUCGUGAGAUGUUGGGUUAAGUCCCGCAACGAGCGCAACCCUUGUUCACUGUUGCCAGCACGUUAUGGUGGGGACUCAGUGGAGACCGCCGGGGUCAACUCGGAGGAAGGUGGGGAUGACGUCAAGUCAUCAUGCCCCUUAUGUCCAGGGCUUCACGCAUGCUACAAUGGCUGGUACAGAGAGUGGCGAGCCUGUGAGGGUGAGCGAAUCUCGGAAAGCCGGUCUCAGUUCGGAUUGGGGUCUGCAACUCGACCUCAUGAAGUCGGAGUCGCUAGUAAUCGCAGAUCAGCAACGCUGUGGUGAAUACGUUCCCGGGGCU